rnacentral:lncRNA from 1 species
GUAAAGGGACUCAUGGUCUGCGUCUCUUCUGGCAGAUGUUAUCCUGACAGACACAUUUAUUGGAUAUUUAGUUGGAAAUACCUUAUGGUUGGUUGCAGUUGGCUAUUAUAUCUAUGUAACUUUCCUGGGAUACAGUGCAUUGCCAUUUUUGAAAAAUACAGUAAUUCUUCUGUAUCCAUUUGCACCUCUGAUUCUGCUCUACGGGCUUUCCCUGGCACUGGGAUGGAACUUCACCCAUACUCUCUGUUCUUUCUAUAAGUACAGAGUGAAAUAAAAAGUGAGAAGAAGAUUCAAUCGUAACUGUGUCAACAGUAUUGUGAAGUGAUCAUUUCUUGUAAAACUUGUAAAUAAACUAUCAUCUUUGUAGAUAUCUUAAAGGUGUAAAGUUUGCAAAUUUGAAGAAAUAUAUAUUAACACUGUGGUCAGGUACAUUCCUUAAAACUAAUUAAAUGUACAUUUCUAUAAUAAAUAUUUUUUAAACU